GGAACACAACCUGGAGAAGGGCAAUACUUUGCCGAUUUUGUCCAACGACAGAGGAGGCAUCUUCCUUCUCCAAUUUAACCUAAAUAAAAUCUUUCGUUCCUUAUUUUUGCGGGAUAGGACAAGGUAAUUUACUUUUUCAUUUCCCUUCUGCUUUAGUUCUUUGGCAUCACCAAAACGGCCCUAAAACUAUUUUCUGCGACUUUGCAAGGACGGGCAAACAAUUCUCAAGCGGCAGAGAUAGAGGCACUUCUAUACGACUCUGCGAGUUCAUGUGGAUGGUAGGCCUUAUUAAUUUGGAAUUUUCUUUCAUCGUUGCUUAUGGAAUCAUGGUCCGAAUUCGAUGGGUCAUCGGAAAAUUGUCAACUAAAAUAGGUCGUCUGAAGUUUGAGGUUGAGCAAUUUGAAGAUUUUGUUACCUUUUUUAAGAGCAUUUCAAUGUAUCUCGCUGUAUUUUUUGUAUUUCGUUGUAUUUCGUUGUAUUCACUAAUUUUUUUGUCAUUGUAAUUCAAUGUAUCUUGUUGUAUUCCAUGUAUUUCAUUGUAUUUAGUGCCUUUUUUCUCAUUGUAUU
rnacentral:lncRNA from 1 species